rnacentral:tRNA from 1 species
UCCCUGCUGGCUCAGUGGUAAAGAAUUUGCUUGCAGUGCAGGAGACGCAGGUUCGAUUCCUGGGUGGGGAG